UUUUUCUUUUACCUGCAGCUGGGCAGUAACUGAAAUAUAACUUACUCUGGCGAGCUGUGGAAAUUCUGAGUUCUGGUUUACUCAAGUUAUGAGUUCGGCACCAAGAGUGACCCAAGUCUAAUUCUUGUACAGAGGGCAUUGCAGAAACAAGUGGAGCCAAGCACAGAAGGUGCUGUAGGCAGCUAGAACGCUCCGAAAACAACAAACCUGAAUACAGAUUGCAAUGGGGCAAUGAAGUGAGCAAGUACAGCGUUCAUAACUCAGGCUGCACUGAUUACAGCAUGGCGGUUACAUUUCAAGCAAUGUUACUUAAAGGGCCAUGAUACCCAAAUGUUGAAACACUUGAAAGUGCUGCAGCAUAGCUGUAAAAGGCAGACUAGAAAAUAUCAAUGGUGGUUCUACUGCAUGCUGCUAGAGUAUCUUGAUCCAAAAUGGAAGAAUUACAAUGACAUUUGCAUGUUCUCUUCUAAUUUAGCCUAGAAGCUGAAAUCUGCCUUUAAAUAUCUGCAGCGAGGUAUGGUUACUUUGGUGAGCUAAAGAAAUGCCCAACAGAAUAGCCACAAGCUAUUAAUGUUAUGCUCGGACUGCAAACUGUAGAUACUGAACAUGACUGUCUACCAUUGGGAUAUAAAAAUAUGAUCUGCUAUUAGUGCUGAAAAUGGAAUGCAUGGGAAAAGUAUGAUGUUAUGAAUUCUAUUUGAAAACUUCUUGAAAAAAAUCCAGUAACCAUUUAUUUAAAAUUUGAUCUACCAAAAUGUUUCUAAAAUGAGAUAAAUAAGCUUCAACAAGAGAUAUUUGGAUAUUCCCACUAACUAUAGUUGAAGAUAGACCACUAACUCUGAGCCGCUCAGUUAGACAAUAGACAACCCAAAUAUUAAACUGAAUAGAUUUACUUCAGAGGUAGAAUCUGCUGUGCCAUAACCACAAGCAUGCACUACCAGCUUUGUGGCUACUAUACUGUGGCUACUAUACUGUGGCUACUAUACUGUGGCCAUUCAACUUAAGCAAUUCUGCUGCACCAUAUAUUUAAACAAAUAUGUUACUUGGUAUAAAUCUGAAAGAAAUGAGAUUCUAUUUUGUGCAUCUUGCUUGUUAGAGGCUGAAAUCUUUGGAGGUUUUUAUGAGCAUUAUAUCGCAAUGUGUGUCUCUUUUCUUUGCAUAGAAAACCCUGCAUAGCUAGAUAAACAGAUCCCAGGCUAAUAUUGCCUUUCUAAAAUCGUCUUAGAUCAUCUAGCCAGAGCAGAGAGCUUUAGAUCAUCAGGCGCUCAGUGAGUACCCCCUCUCCUCAGGGGAUGCGGACAGGAAAUUGCCAUACACCAUUUAUCUACAUAAGAAUGCUCCAGAUUUCCUUCUGUUCUGUCCACUAUAGCUUUUACAGGUCACGGUUCUCUCUCCUUUAGGGGUUGUUUGUAGGAGACUCAGGGUUUGUAGCUCACAUAAUUUCCCUGGCGAUAAGAAGAGCUCUGAGUGUUUGAAGGUGUAUUGGAGCAGUGUUUCUCAACCGUGCGUGGUACUCAAGCACCCCCAAC